CAGCAUCAGAACUACCAUUACAAGGGAACUGGCAAUGAGAGACAAAUGAUAUACAUGGAAUGAUGUCAGUUUAAACCAGACUCCGGCUAUUUCAAGCAUAGAAGCUUCUAAUUGACUUUCAGAGCUGUAAUGCAUGUCUGGGACUCAUGGAGAAUAUGAACAAACUCACUGCAAAGCCUUCUGGAUACUUUCUCCCAGGUAACAAUUGUUCCCAUUAUCACAGGUCAGCCAGGAGGAGGAAACAGCCUCCUGCUGGUUGUCCCCAAAUGAUGCUGAUGUAGAGUCCUGGACAUGCAGUCCUUAAGAGCAGCUGUGUUCUUCCACCCUACAUCUCCCCUCUGCCUUAUCUCUGAUGAGCACCCACUGGCACUGAAUGUGUAACUGCCUGUGGCCUUAAAGAUGCC
rnacentral:lncRNA from 1 species